UUCAGAAACAAAGAUCCACCGUCACCACCGUCUUGCUGGGCUUCCAGUACGAAAGGAACUUCCUUCGAAAAAUGCUAUGUAAACUCCCGAGAGGAUGAAUUGGUGCUGCAGCUGUGAAGCCAAGAUGAGAAGUUAUUAACAGGGAAAGAAGAGUGAGAUUGGAAAAUGAAGGAAGGAAGAAAGAAAAGAGGGGUUGUGAGAGCAGGUUGCAAAUAGCCUGAAGAAUGCAAGCAUCACUUACUCUGGAUCUCAUUGAGAAAGGACUUCAGGCAAAUUCAAUUCAGAUGUAUGGCUAAAAAAUAAUUUCUCUUUCUAUUUUUGAUAUUAUUCUUAAUUUUAAAACAAAAAUGUAGGAUUACAUUAUAUAAUUACUUUUUAACCAACUCAUAUGUUUUCUGUUUGUGUUUUUCAAUUUGUAUUUAUAUUCUUGUUGAUGUUAUUUUAAAAUAUUUCCACUUAUGGUAAAUUUAUGUCUACUAUCCCCUUACCUAAAACAGUUAAUUUAUAUGUGGAACAAUCUUUAUAAAUAACUAUUACUUUCCCUUAUUUAUGUGUUUCAUUACUUUCAUGUCAUUUUGCCAUGUAUCACAAUUGUGGUAUGACUGCUGUUAAAUUUAUGUGGUUCUAAGGCCUCCUUUACAAUUGCAUGUGCACCCUAGUACAGAAGUGAUGCUGCUUACUGAUUGUCAUGAUAUAUAUAUAUUUUUUUCUGUUAGGCGUUAUUCCGACAUAGCAGUUUAUCUAA